AUGCCGGCGACGGCGGGGCGCGUUCGCAUGCCGGCGAACAACCGCGUGCACAGCAGCGCGGCGCUGCAGACGCACGGCAUCUGGCAGAGCGCCAUCGGCUACGACCCCUACGCCCCCGAGAACAACAAGCAGCAGGCCCCCUCCUCCUCCGUCUCCGCCAACGCCGCAGCCGCCGCAGCCAACGCCGCCGCCGAAGCCGCCGCGCCUCCCUCCUCUGACCCCGGCGCCUCCUCGGAGAACGCCUACACCAGCUUCCAGGGCCUCCUCGCGCUCGCCCGCGUCACCGGAUCCAACUCCGACGAGACCCGGGGCGCCUGCAAGAAGUGCGGCCGUGUUGGCCAUCUCACCUUCCAGUGCCGCAACUUCCUUUCUGUCAAGGAGCUUGCCAUGGACGACGACAUCCAAGCUGGCAUGCUGUCCGCCGCGCAUGCAAAGGCCAAGUUCGAGGAGAUCACGAAGAAAGCCUCUGGUGCCAGAGACGCUGACGAGGAGGGUUCUGACGAGGAAGAUGAGGAUGAGAUUGACAGCGAUUCCUCUGAUUCCGAUAUUGAUCCCGAGCUGGAGAAGAUAAUUGCUGAACGGGAGCGUGCCAAGAGCCGUGGAGGGAAGCGGUCAGGGGAGCAGGACAAGAAGACAAGCCGCCAUAAGAGCAAGAGCAGGGGAAGAUCAAAGCACAGGAGGAGCAGGAAGAGUGACAGUGAGGAUGAUUCGGAGGAGGAGAGAACUAAGGACAAGAAGAAGAAUAGGCGGAAGAAGCACAGAUCCUCAGAUGAGGAUAGCGAGAGUGACUCUGACAGGAAGAGGCACAGGAAGAGUAGGAAAGAUAGGAAGAGGCGGAGGACGCACCGCCAGACGGAUGACUCAUCAGACGAUGAUGAAUCUGGAGGGGAAGGGAGGAGGCAUCACCGCCACCACAAGAGGCGUCAUCACCGGAGGGAUGCAUCUGGUAGUGACAGUGAUGGCAGCGAAUCCCCACAUGAAAGGAAGCCAUCCAGUAAGCAGAAGAGCCACAAGAGGUCAGAAAGCCAUGGAUUGGGUGAGGAUGAGCGACAUUGUCCACAGGGGGCAAGCCGCUCUGGAGAGAAGAGCAGGGAGCAUAAGAGGGGCUAA
rnacentral:rRNA from 1 species